CUAAAACGGAAGAGAAGGACAUUUUGAGCACCGAGACCUAUUGGAAGACUACAGGCCACCUGACCAGAAGAUCGGGGUCCAAGUCUCUGCAGGAGUGCAAUGACCGUGUCCUGCUUGGAGGACAGCAGCUCCAAGGCCGUGGCUAUCCUUCCAAGAGACUCUGACAUCCGCACCUCCCUCCUCUCCGCCUCUUCUCUCUGACCUCCACCCUGCGCCGAGCCACCCGAUCCAGGUGUAACAGUUGUUUCGGUCUGCGAUGGACUGGCAGCGGCGCUACUCAUGAUCUGGCUGGUGGCGGCUCCCAGACCGUCCGUAUCCAAAGCCCCGGUCCCAGCAAAGUCCCCAUUGGGGCGGAUGAUGGUGGUGGGCUGUGGAAGCUGCGCUGGUUUUGCUGGGAUCUUUGUUGAAGGAAUGGCCAGUGAAGAAGCUGUACUGCUACCUUUGUUCCUUUUGUUGCUAAUGAUCUGCGAGCCAAUAGUAUCACAGAGCGUGGCGUCCAUGAGCUACAGAGAGAAAAGGAAAACCACAAACUAUUUUUAUUCACGACACCAGGAUGAGCAGCUGGUCAUCUACCAUGUAAAAUUAACCUAAUUAAUAUCCCUGAGAUCUCUGUAAAGCAGGAAGAUACUGCCUUGAGUUUUGUCUCUGGAAAUUUUGAAUGACUUUUACAGACAAUACAAGAUAGAUAUCUUUAAAUAUAUAUAUAUAGACACAAAGGUUUUAUCUCCCGGAUCGCAUCGCUGUGCAGAAGACGUGAGAUCUUUUAACAUUAUGAGCUCAUGCAAAGUUUAGAAACCUUUCUGUUGCACAGAGCACAAGAAUUCCUGCACAUUUCCUGUCACUUUCCCACACUCACAAUUGUCAGAGUUGUUCAUCCACAAAGGUUGAGUUACUUUAUAAAAUAAAGUGCUUCUCCAGUGUGAA